rnacentral:miRNA from 1 species
CAGGCGUCUUGUUUGGGUGUGA